GAUAUAAAGAUUGCAGGGAGUGGGAAAGGCUUCUCCAGGGAAAACCCUGAGAUGUAGGGAGCUGUGAAAAGAGAUACUGCAGUGAACAGGAGGUUUCUGCUACAGACUCUGAUUGGAAGAAGAGUUUGUGGACCUAGAAGCCAGACAGAUGAAGAAGGCCAAGCUCCAGCCAGGCCACAGUUGCAGAGUUACUACAACUUGCUAUAACACUUCUGUGCUGUGGAACUCUUCUCUUCUGACUCAGCAACCACUGACUGGUGGUGGUGGGGACUGCUAUAACCUGGACUCCUGGAUGCUAUAGUGAGCUGUGGGGAUGCAUGACAGCUGCAGAGGCCUCAUCUCCAUUAAUAGAUUCUCCAAGAGCCACAGGAGAGGCUUCCUUGGGUGAAGGCACCAGGCGCCCCUUAUAGAUGAAUCCAAGAUCCAUACCCCUGAGAAGAGCAUGGAGAAGGCUGCAGCCAGGCCUCAGGGCAAGGAAUCGAAUGAUAUGUAAAUCAAAGGUUACAAGAAACUUUAUCCAUUCUAAAGAGAUUAAUCUUGCAUCAUCUCAAUAUGUUUUCUCUUCUACCCUUGUUGAGGACUUUAUUUGGAGUAAUUGUCACAUAUUUUAAAAGCUUGUCAUGCUUUGGAAGGAUUGACAGGGUGCAAUACUGCAAUUUGAGGACCCACGUCAACAUUAGUUGCAUUAGAGUUCACUUCACUGCUUCCAUCUAAAUUAUGUUGACUGGCUACCUAUAUUAUUCAGAGAAAGGAAAGCUAAGUGUACAGGAAUUGAAUGGUGUCCCUUUAAAUCAGUGGUUUCCAAACUGGGGUAUGAGCUCUCAUCAGCGGGUAUGUGAGAAAAAUCCUGUAAUGGUGGACAACACAUUUUAUUUAGUAAGACUUGGCAAUCUAAUCAUAGGUGUAUUAUGAUCCCAUCUCAGAUGGGGGUAUGCAGUAGAUGACAGUAUUUGGAAGGGGGUAAGCAGCCUAAAAAGUUUGAAAGCCUCUGCUUUAAAUAAUGAGAGCCUCCAGUAGUCCUCACUGUCUUCUGCAUUUUAGAAGUCACCAGAGCAACAAUGUGUUCAUGUAACUAGGCCUUGCAUGUUGUAUAUAGUUAGUAAACAUGGAUGUUAUGAGCACAAUUAGGUCCAGUCAUUUCUUCAUUUUAUGCAUGUUGUAUAACAGUGGCUUUCAACCUUUCCAGACUAUUGUACCCCCUUCAGGAGUCUGAUCUUUCUUGCAUA